rnacentral:rRNA from 1 species
GACGAACGCUGGCGGCGUGCUUAACACAUGCAAGUCGAACGGAAAGGCCCUGCUUGCAGGGUACUCGAGUGGCGAACGGGUGAGUAACACGUGGGUGAUCUGCCCUGCACUUCGGGAUAAGCCUGGGAAACUGGGUCUAAUACCGGAUAGGAGCCAUUUUUAGUGUGAUGGCUGGAAAGUUUUUUCGGUGUAGGAUGAGCUCGCGGCCUAUCAGCUUGUUGGUGGGGUAAUGGCCUACCAAGGCGGCGACGGGUAGCCGGCCUGAGAGGGUGGACGGCCACAUUGGGACUGAGAUACGGCCCAGACUCCUACGGGAGGCAGCGGUGGGGAAUAUUGCACAAUGGGCGCAAGCCUGAUGCAGCGACGCCGCGUGGGGGAUGACGGCCUUCGGGUUGUAAACUCCUUUCGCUAGGGACGAAGCUUUUUGUGACGGUACCUAGAUAAGAAGCGCCGGCUAACUACGUG